CGACCGUACGAUAUCGGACGGCGGAAGCUCAACGGAUAAAAGCUACUCCGGGGAUAACAGGCUGAUCUCGCCCGAGCGUCCAUAGCGACGGCGUGGUUUGGCACCUCGAUGUCGGCUCAUCGCAUCCUGGGGCUGAAGAAGGUCCCAAGGGUUUGGCUGUUCGCCAAUUAAAGCGGUACGCGAGCUGGGUUCAGAACGUCGUGAGACAGUUCGGUCUCCUGUCUACUAUGCGCGUGGAAUCUUGAGGGAGCGGAUCUCUAGUACGAGAGGACCGAGAUUCACGAACCUCUAGUGCACCGGUUGUUCUACCAAGAGCACCGCCGGGUAGCUACGUUCGGCACAGAUAAACGCUGAAAGCAUAUAAGCGUGAAGCUGUUCCCAAGAUUAGGAUUCAGAGAGCCCUCCGAGACGAGGAGGUUGAUAGGCGGUAAGUGUAAGGGUCGCGAGACCUUCAGCUGAGCCGUACUAAUAGCUCGAUGCUUCGACCUU
rnacentral:rRNA from 1 species